GAUGAACGCUGGCGGCGUGCCUAAUACAUGCAAGUCGAGCGAACAGACGAGGAGCUUGCUCCUCUGACGUUAGCGGCGGACGGGUGUGUAACACGUGGAUAACCUACCUAUAAGACUGGGAUAACUUCGGGAAACCGGAUCUAAUACCGGAUAAUAUAUUGAACCUCAUGGUUCAAUAGUGAUAGACCGUUUUGCUGUCCCUUAUAGAUGGAUCCGCGCCGCAUUAGCUAGUUGGUAAGGUAACGGCUUACCAAGGCAACGAUGCGUAGCCGACCUGAGAGGGUGAUCGGCCACACUGGAACUGAGACACGGUCCAGACUCCUACGGGAGGCAGCAGUAGGGAAUCUUGCGCAAUGGGCGAAAGCCUGACGGAGCAACGCCGCGUGAGUGAUGAAGGUCUUCGGAUCGUAAAACUCUGUUAUUAGGGAAGAACAAAUGUGUAAGUAACUAUGCACGUCUUGACGGUACCUAAUCAGAAAGCCACGGCUAACUACGUG
rnacentral:rRNA from 1 species